rnacentral:tRNA from 1 species
GGGGAUUUAGCUCAGUGGUAGAGCACUUGCCUAGCAAGCAAAAGUCCUGGGUUUGCUCCUCAGCUCUG